AGCAGCCGCGGUAAUUCCAGCUCCAAUAGCGUAUAUUAAAGUUGUUGCAGUUAAAAAGCUCGUAGUUGAAUUUCGGGAUCAAUUAAUCGGUCGUGCCUCUGGUACGCACUGGUUUUAUUGGUUUCUCCCUUCUGACGAACCAGGAUGUCAUUAAUUUGGUGUCUUGGAGAAUCAGGACUGUUACUUUGAAAAAUUAGAGUGUUUAAAGCAGGCUUCUAGGCAUGAAUACAUUAGCAUGGAAUAAUGAAA
rnacentral:misc_RNA from 1 species